UGGGGAAUAUUGCACAAUGGGGGAAACCCUGAUGCAGCGACGCCGCGUGAACGAAGAAGUAUUUCGGUAUGUAAAGUUCUAUCAGCAGGGAAGAUAAUGACGGUACCUGACUAAGAAGCACCGGCUAAAUACGUGCCAGCAGCCGCGGUAAUACGUAUGGUGCAAGCGUUAUCCGGAUUUACUGGGUGUAAAGGGAGCGCAGGCGGUGCGGCAAGUCUGAUGUGAAAGCCCGGGGCUCAACCCCAGUACUGCAUUGGAAACUGUCGUACUAGAGUGUCGGAGGGGUAAGUGGAAUUCCUAGUGUAGCGGUGAAGUGCGUAGAGACGGUA
rnacentral:rRNA from 1 species